rnacentral:rRNA from 1 species
GACGAACGCUGGCGGCGUGCUUAACACAUGCAAGUCGAGCGGUAAGGCCCUUUCGGGGGUACACGAGCGGCGAACGGGUGAGUAACACGUGGGUGACCUGCCCUCAGCUCUGGGAUAAGCCUGGGAAACCGGGUCUAAUACUGGAUAUGACUCCAUGACGCAUGUUGUGGGGUGGAAAGCCUUGUGCGGCUGAGGAUGGGCCCGCGGCCUAUCAGCUUGUUGGUGGGGUGAGGCCUACCAAGGCGACGACGGGUAGCCGGCCUGAGAGGGCGACCGGCCACACUGGGACUGAGACACGGCCCAGACUCCUACGGGAGGCAGCAGUGGGGAAUCUUGCGCAAUGGGCGAAAGCCUGACGCAGCACGCCGCGUGAGGGAUGACGGCCCUGGU